GUCACUCCAAAUCACAACAUACUUUUCUAAGUAAACCAUGUAUCAAGUCAUGUGAAUAGUACAUAAAAUGUUGUAAAAUAAAAUCACAAUUGGGUUAAAUAUAAAAAGCACUAGAUUUUUGGUGGACAUCCACAUAUUAUAGAAAUUAGGCCUUCAACCCUAUAUAGUAAUUAAGAAACUAGAGACACAUGCCUCUAAAUCAAUCAUUCAAAAUCAGUCACAACAAAGACACUAAUAAUGAAUUAAUUUACAAUGAAAACAUUUCCAAAUCACAGAUGUAAUCUAUUUUGAACAAUAUUCAACACUGUAACAGUUCAGUGCAAUUUAAUAAUUGGGACACCCCUUCAGAGAGAUUUAUUUUUUAAUCAAACAAAUUUAAAUAAAGAAAUUGUGCUCCAAUUUUACCCAAAGUUAAUUUCUAAAUCUUUAUAAAUCCUCUGCUUAUCACCAUUUUUUAGGGC
rnacentral:lncRNA from 1 species